AUUGAACGCUGGCGGCAGGCCUAACACAUGCAAGUCGAGCGGAGCGGCGGACGGGUGAGUAAUGCCUAGGAAUCUGCCUGGUAGUGGUGGAUAACGUCCGGAAACGGGCGCUAAUACCGCAUACUAUCAGAUGAGCCUAGGUCGGAUUAGCUAGUCGGUGGGGUAGAGGCCUAACAAGGCGAAGAUCCGUAACUGGUCUGGGAGGAUGAUCAUGCAAACUGGAAGGGAGACACGGUCCAGACUCCUACGGGAGGCAGCAGUGGGUAAUAGUGGACAAUGGGCGAAAGCCUGAUCCAGCAAUGCGGAGGGUGUGAAGAAGGUUUUCGGAUUGUAAAGCACUUUAAGUUGGGAGGCGUUACCAACAGAAUAAGCACCGGCUAACUUCGUGCCAGCAGCCGCGGUAAUAC
rnacentral:rRNA from 1 species